rnacentral:lncRNA from 1 species
UUUUGCAUACCAUUAACAAUAUGGUGACUGACGAAGACCGUAUACUGAUUUGUGAAGACGACAAGCCUGAUAUUUAAAAAUGUUAAACAUAAAUUUAGAGAUGUUUUACUUUAUUUUCAAUUUUUCCUAAGUAUUUUUUUUUCCUUUUUCAUAUAGCUAGGUCCAAAUAUUCUCAGUUACUUGGUCUCUAAGCUAAACAAUUCUUUAGUUUAUUGUCUUAGGGUUUUUGAAACAGAUGUAACUGGUUUGACCGGUUUUUUCUUGACAGUGGCGACGGAAGGUGGGCCUGGAAGGGUCGCAGUGGAAGAAGUCAUUGAAGUUGAGAAUAGGUGAUUGUCUGAGACGCUAAUAUACUCUUACCUAUGUAUCUAGAUAUUUGACCUAACACAAAUUGUUUUGGAUAUGUAGAUAUAUUACAAAUUAUUUAAAUCUUCA